rnacentral:lncRNA from 1 species
UUGUACUCUGCACGUGCUGAUGAUGCGGCGGCCAUUUUGUGAAUGCCUAGUCUCUACCAAGGUCAUUACUGUGUCAUCUGCAAGUAUAGCCAAAUUAUCGCCCAACCAGAAAUAGCACAAAUUCCUUCAUUAAUUAUUUCCAGAUUUACCUGCACGACCUGUAGAUAUAUAUAUGGUGUAAUUCAUUUAAGGAGAGACACUGGUUUUAAAAAAAUUUUUUUAAAUAUAAGUGCAUUUUUAACUAUAUUUCACCUAAUGAUAUGGUGGUAUGAUAUAAGUAAAAAAAUUAGUUCAAAAAUCCGUCAAAGAAAUUAAUUGGUCAUAUUUAAUGGUUUUUUUUUAAUUUUUUAAAUUAUAUUUUGAUCAUAUGGUCAUGGCAGCGGUGAACAGCACUCGUAAAGAUUGCUAAACGCGUGAUGUUUACAUCUAUUUUUGUAAACUUUGAGUUAGAAAAAUGGAUUUUUUAGCAUUUUAAUAAACGUUUUCCUGUAUAAUUUAUAUAUUUUUAUAAAGUAGAGAUAAUGUAGAAUACGAAACACAAAAAAACUAAAAUUCGAUAUUUUUACCAAAAAUCAGCACUUUUAAAACCCGUGUCUCCCCUUAAAAAAGAAUGAAAAUAAAUACAUUAAUGA